GAUGAAGAACGUAGCGAAAUGCGAUAAGUAGUGUGAAUUGCAGAAUUCAGUGAAUCAUCGAUUCUUUGAACGCACAUUGCGCCCCUUGGUAUUCCAUGGGGCAUGCCUGUUCGAGCGUCAUUUGUACCCUCAAGCUAUGCUUGGUGUUGGGUGUUUGUCCUCUCCUUUUGCGAUUGGACUCGCCUUAAAGACAUUGGCAGCCAGUGUAUUGGUCUUGAAGCGCAGCACAUUUUGCGAUUCUUGCUGAUAAUCACUAGCGUCCAGUAAGCCUAUUUUAACACUUUUGACCUCGGAUCAGGUAGGGAUACCCGCUGAACUUAAGCAUAUCAAUAAGCGGAGGA
rnacentral:misc_RNA from 1 species